rnacentral:rRNA from 1 species
UACACUCCUACGGGAGGCAGCAGUGGGGAAUUUUGGACAAUGGGCGAAAGCCUGAUCCAGCAAUGCCGCGUGAGUGAAGAAGGCCUUCGGGUUGUAAAGCUCUUUUGUCAGGGAAGAAACGGUGAAAGCUAAUAUCUUUUGCUAAUGACGGUACCUGAAGAAUAAGCACCGGCUAACUACGUGCCAGCAGCCGCGGUAAUACGUAGGGUGCAAGCGUUAAUCGGAAUUACUGGGCGUAAAGCGUGCGCAGGCGGUUUUGUAAGUCUGAUGUGAAAUCCCCGGGCUCAACCUGGGAAUUGCAUUGGAGACUGCAAGGCUAGAAUCUGGCAGAGGGGGGUAGAAUUCCACGUGUAGCAGUGAAAUGCGUAGAUAUGUGGAGGAACACCGAUGGCGAAGGCAGCCCCCUGGGUCAAGAUUGACGCUCAUGCACGAAAGCGUGGGGAGCAAACAGGAUUAGAUACCCGUGUAGUCCCAUG